rnacentral:misc_RNA from 1 species
AACGCACAUUGCGCCCCUUGGUAUUCCGAGGGGCAUGCCUGUUCGAGCGUCAUUACAACCCUCAAGCAUUGCUUGGUAUUGGGCUCCGCUGUUCACCCAGCGGGCCUUAAAAUCAGUGGCAGUGCCAUCGAGGCCCUGAGCGUAGUAAAUAUCCUCGCUAUAGGGACCCGGUGGACGCUGGCCAUCAACCCCCCAACUUUCUAAGUUUGACCUCGGAUCAGGUAGGGAUACCCGCUGAACUUAA